rnacentral:lncRNA from 1 species
GAGGUUGAUGUGGGAUUUUAAUGCCUUGCAAACUAUUCUCUGCAACAGAAUAUAAUUUUCUUCAAGGCCGUCUCCAUGUGCAGAACUGCACCACUUCCAGCCCUUUGAUAACUCUGUGGAAGACGUCCUGUGACAGCUGACAGCUUCAGAAGAGGUGGAUGGAGAGGCCAUAACCUCUGGAACAUUCUCCAGCUGAGCUGUAGUCUGACCUUGGUCACUUUUAGACGGGAGUGUUCUUCCAGAAGCUGGAGAAUAACAAUACUUGGAUAUACAACGGAGAGUCCUUUCUAUUCAAAGCAGGGAUGCGAGGGGAAACAAGCAGAGAGGCAAUCUAACCAAAUCCAGAGACACCACAAGGACACUAGGAGAGACAGGAGGAAAGGCAAGAGACAGUCGACCAUCUCCAAGUCUUUAAAACCACCACUGUUUAGAGUCUGAGGUAGACUCUGAAGUCUAUUUCACACCAGUGUUGGGAUCAAUGCUCUUUGUGGGAGGCAAAUCGUCAAAUUCCUUACGAUUCAAGUUUAUCCAUAAAUAAUUUUCAUGUCUUCCAACUGAUCUAAGCUUUUUGAAUUUACAUUUAAUCCAAUGCCAGAUUUGAACCUAACUGCUUUUGUUGUCUGAAUACAUAGUAUGGAGAGUUACUUUCUGUUUAUUUUUUCUUUGCUAAAAAAAUGGAAACUGCACAUACCACAUGUGUCUGCUAUGUCACCAAGCUUCUAGCUUUUUAUGACCGUGUUGCAAAACAAAUUCACUGUGUCUCUUCCUCGUGUUUCUGAGGACUACAAAGCAAAGGAAAUUCAGUAAACCAGUUAAACCUUUCUUGCAAGUUAGCUGCCAACCAACAGUUGCGGAAAGUCUUUUAAGUUAAUGACUUGCUGUAGCUUUAUUACAUGAGAGGGAUUUUCAGUUUUAACACGCAGCUAAAUGUUUUUUGAGCUCCUUCUUGUACUCUGUGGAGCAGAAAAUCCUCUUUAACCUCUGUAACCUCCAACUCAUCUUCUCCUCAGUUCUCCAGGCCAGCGCUCCACUCAUCCCUUCUCCUCCUAUCUUCUUCUUUCUCCUCCCAGCACUCUUCCAAGCGAACAGGUCCACUGAUCUCUAUUUGGCUAAUCGGAGCACACACAGACACAGAUGCACACACACAUUCGUCCCUCUGGUGUCCAGCAGUGAUUAAUUAACUCAGAUGCACAACUGACAUGAUUGAAAUAGUUGUGUGUGAGAAUGUGGGGGUUUUUUUUCAGUGUUUUUUUUUUUUCUUUAGAUGUGUCCACAGCUUAUUUGCAUAUAAACAAACUGCAACCUUUUUUGUAAUUACAUAAAUGUUUAUUUUGCCAACAUUUGCAUUCGGGUGUGAAAGCGUGGAUCUGUGUGUGUCACAUGAGUAAUAGACACUCUGUUGCUCCAGGUUAUGUUGCAAUGCUCACUGUUGUCACAAACUUUAAUAUGCACGGACAGCCAACGUAGUCGGUCAGACAUCUGCAAUUUAUUAAAACUGAUCACAGCGAGUUUUUCUUUUGUUUGAGCGUUGCUUUUUAUUCUGAUGCUUGUUUUUGCUUUUUAUCUGGAGGAAACCAAAUCAAAUAUUGAUUAUAAAAGAUAAAAAAGAAAUAAUACUAAUCAUAAUAAAAUUAAUAACGCUGGAAAGGGCAUCUGUCUGUACAAACUCAUUUGGCAAAACUCUGGGGCAAACCCUCAUGGGUCUGCAUUUACCUUUUGAUUCAAGGCAAAGAAUUUCUUUAAAACAUUUCUUUAAGUUGGCAGGAUCUAAUUUUAGAUGAUUAAUAGAUAAUUAAUAUGAAUAAUUUAGGAAAUUUAGUUGAUUGUGUCCUAUCUGUUACAGAAAUAUGUAUGUCCUCUGUCAGACCCAAAUAAAUCAUUUUUCU